rnacentral:rRNA from 1 species
GAUGAACGCUGGCGGCGUGCCUAACACAUGCAAGUCGAACGGAAAGACGAGGAUUUUGCGCCGCUGACGAGAGGCGCACGGGUGUGUGUAACAUGUGUAUAACCCCCCUAUCAGACGGGGAUCACCUCGAGACACGGGAGCUUACACCGUAUAAUAUAUUGCACCGCAGGGUGGAAUAGUGAAAUACGGCUUUUCGGUCAGUUCUAGAUGGAUCCGGGCCGCAUUAGGUAGUUGGUAGGUUAACGGGCUACCAAGGCUACGAUGCGUGGGCGAAGUGAGAGAGUGAUCGGCCACACUGGAACGGAAACAGGGUCCAGGCGCCUACGGGAGGGAGCAGUCGGGAAUGUUAGGCAAUGGGCGAAAGCCUGACGCAGCAAGGGGGAGUGUGUGAUGAAGGUCUUCGGUGCGGAAAGCUCGGUUAUGAGGGAAGAACAACUGUGGACUUAGACGUGCAGGGAUUGACGGUACCGGAUAAAAAAGCACCGGCUAACUACGUG